rnacentral:misc_RNA from 1 species
CCGAGUGAGGGCCUCCGGGCUCGACCUCCAACCCCAUGUUAUCCGACCCUGUUGCCUCGGGGGCGACCCGGCCCUGCGCCGGGGCCCCCGGUGGACCACUCAACGCUGCAUCGUUGCGUCCGAGUCUAGAUAUUGAAUCAAUCA